UCAGUGGUUUAAAUAAAGCAUAAAACUACAACUUGUAUAUUAGUGUGGAGCAUAAAAUUGGAAGACAUCCUGUAAAAUUAAAAAAAUGAAACAACCAACUGUGCCUCGUCCACUUUGAUUCCAGCAACUUCGCGUUGCGCCACGUCCGUCCACGUUCUAAUCAAACUGUUACAUUUUUUUGUUAAUCUAGGGAAACAGUGCAAUUCGUAGGGAGAACCAGCUAUGUGUACCACCCCAAAACGUGAAGAAGGAGAGCCGUUAUUCGUCAGAAUGAGCCGUUGGUGCGAAUGGUUUUACAUGUGGUGCUGCUACCUGCCAAUUAUACUUUCGUUUUCUCUUAUGAUGUUAUUUGUUUUCUAUUUUUUGAUUGAUGGACCAGUACGUUCUGUUAUGUAUAGUUUAUUUCCAAAAUGUAACACCUACGUAGCAUCAGUGAUGACAUGCAUCGCUGGUGCCGCAGCAGCUACACAAUUGGUGUUACUUUUUACUUGAAUUUUAUAACCUGUUAGCCUGUAAUUGUAAUGUAAUAAUUUUAUAUGUAUGACAUUCAUUUUUGUAAUUUUAACGGUUUGUAAUAUCUGUUUAAUGUAUUUUAAUGCUAAUGUUUGUAAAAUGUAAAAUUAUUGAAUAAAUAAAGGAUACAAUUAUAGGUUUAUAUAAUUGA